rnacentral:rRNA from 1 species
AUACGUAGGGGGCGAGCGUUGUCCGGAAUGAUUGGGCGUAAAGGGCGCGUAGGCGGCCCGGUAAGUCUGGAGUGAAAGUCCUGUUUUUAAGAUGGGAAUUGCUUUGGAUACUGUCGGGCUUGAGGGCAGGAGAGGUCAGUGGAAUUCCCAGUGUAGCGGUGAAAUGCGUAGAGAUUGGGAGGAACACCAGUGGCGAAGGCGACUUACUGGACUGUAACUGACGCUGAGGCGCGAAAGUGUGGGGAGCAAACAGGAUUAGAUACCCUGGUAGUCCACACUGUAAACGAUGAAUGCUAGGUGUAGGGGGUAUCGACCCCUUCUGUGCCGCAGUCAACACAAUAAGCAUUCCGCCUGGGGAGUACGGCCGCAAGGUUGAAACUCAAAUGAAUUGACGGGG